AACAAACGCUGGCGGCGUGCCUAACACAUGCAAGUCGAACGAGAAAUUUCCUGCUUGCAGGAGAAAGUAAAGUGGCGCACGGGUGAGUAACGCGUGGGUAACCUACCUUUGAAUCUGGAAUAACCAGCCGAAAGGCUGACUAAUACCGGAUACGGUUUUUUAGGCUUCGGUCUUUUAAAUUAAAGGUGACCUCUUCAUGAAAGUUGCCGUUCAUAGAUGGGCCCGCGUACCAUUAGCUUGUUGGUGGGGUAAUGGCCUACCAAGGCGACGAUGGUUAGCUGGUCUGAGAGGAUGAUCAGCCACACUGGAACUGGAACACGGUCCAGACUCCUACGGGAGGCAGCAGUGGGGAAUUUUGCGCAAUGGGGGAAACCCUGACGCAGCAACGCCGCGUGAGCGAAGAAGGCCUUCGGGUCGUAAAGCUCUGUCAAGUGGGAAAAAAAUCUUUUGAUCAAUAGUCAAAAGACUUGAUGGUACCACUGGAGGAAGCACCGGCUAACUCCGU
rnacentral:rRNA from 1 species